CGCGGCCUAUCAGCUUGUUGGUGAGGCAACGGCUCACCAAGGCGACGACGGGUAGCCGGCCUGAGAGGGUGACCGGCCACACUGGGACUGAGACACGGCCCAGACUCCUACGGGAGGCAGCAGUGGGGAAUAUUGCACAAUGGGCGAAAGCCUGAUCCAGCAACGCCGCGUGAGGGAUGACGGCCUUCGGGUUGUAAACCUCUUUCAGCAGGGACGAAGCGAAAGUGACGGUACCUGCAGAAGAAGCACCGGCUAACUACGUGCCAGCAGCCGCGGUAAUGCGUAGGGUGCGAGCGUUGUCCGGAAUUAUUGGGCGUAAAGAGCUCGUAGGCGGUUUGUCGCGCCCGCUGUGAAAGCCCGGGGCUCAACCCCGGGUCUGCGGUGGGUACGGGCAGACUGGAGUGCAGUAGGGGAGACUGGAAUUCCUGGUGUAGCGGUGAAAUGCGCAGAUAUCGGGAGGAACACCGGUGGCGAAGGCGGAUCUCUGGGCCUGUCCUGACGCUCAGGCGCGAAAGCUGGGGGAGCAAACAGGAUUAGAUACCCUGGUAGUCCCAGCCGUAAACGUUGGGUGCUAGGUGUGGGGGGAUAUCAACCCCUUCCGUGCCGAAGCUAACGCAUUAAGCACCCCGCCUGGGGAGUACGG
rnacentral:rRNA from 1 species